GCGGCCUAGCUAGGGUAAGUGGGAAGAAGGGAAUUCAAAGCUGAUUGUUAUUUGGUAGAGCUCCACGUCAAAUGUAUACAAUUUGCUCUGUGUUUAUGGAUUUCCUAUGCGCCCAUUAUGGCUCUAUUGCACCUGUAGCAAUGCGGCCUCCAUGAGCUGCUUCCUGUAACAAAUUGGGGGGAGGCGAGAGCCGAUGAAACGAGCGGG
rnacentral:lncRNA from 1 species